GAUGAACGCUGGCGGCGUGCCUAAUACAUGCAAGUCGAGCGAACGGACGAGAAGCUUGCUUCUCUGAUGUUAGCGGCGGACGGGUGAGUAACACGUGGAUAACCUACCUAUAAGACUGGGAUAACUUCGGGAAACCGGAGCUAAUACCGGAUGAUAUUUUGAACCGCAUGGUUCAAAAGUGAAAGACGGUCUUGCUGUCACUUAUAGAUGGAUCCGCGCUGCAUUAGCUAGUUGGUAAGGUAACGGCUUACCAAGGCAACGAUGCAUAGCCGACCUGAGAGGUGGCGCGGCAACACUGGAACUGAGACACGGUCCAGACCCCUACGGGGGGCAGCAGUAGGGAACUUUCCGCAAUGGGCAAAGGCCUGACGGAGCAGCCCGGGGUGGGUGAGAAAGGUCUUCGUAUCUAAAAACUCUUUUAUUGGGAAAAAACAUAUGUGUAAGAAACUGUGCACAUCUGGACGGUACCUAAUAAGAAAGCCCCGGCUAACUCCGUC
rnacentral:rRNA from 1 species